AUUAGAGUUUGAUCAUGGCUCAGAGUGAACGCUGGCGGCAGGCUUAACACAUGCAAGUCGAACGGGCACUUCGGUGCUAGUGGCAGACGGGUGAGUAACGCGUGGGAACGUGCCUUUCGGUUCGGAAUAAUCCAGGGAAACUUGGACUAAUGCCGAAUGUGCCCUUCGGGGGAAAGAUUUAUCGCCUUUAGAGCGGCCCGCGUCUGAUUAGCUAGUUGGUGAGGUAAUGGCUCACCAAGGCGACGAUCAGUAGCUGGUCUGAGAGGAUGACCAGCCACAUUGGGACUGAGACACGGCCCAAACUCCUACGGGAGGCAGCAGUGGGGAAUCUUGCGCAAUGGGCGAAAGCCUGACGCAGCCAUGCCGCGUGAAUGAUGAAGGUCUUAGGAUUGUAAAAUUCUUUCACCGGGGACGAUAAUGACGGUACCCGGAGAAGAAGCCCCGGCUAACUUCGUGCCAGCAGCCGCGGUAAUAAU
rnacentral:rRNA from 1 species